AUACUAUGUAUGUAGGGUUUGCCCUGCUAUGGCGAUAAACGCUUAUCGGAAUAAGCGUUACGGACCCGGGGGCGGUACCCGGCGCCUCCACCAAUUUCCCUUCCAUUCUUUGUUUUUAGGAUGGUCGGGCGCUUUGGGGGCGAAAUAGGAUCGACGUGCGUAGUAAAGGUUAAGUUUUCGCUCGGUGUGGUUCCGCCGUUACCGGACCAAACUUAGUAGUUGCAAAUGACAACUAUGCUGAGGCUCGUCUCGCUGCGUAAUGCAGUCAGAUGAACCACUUCGAAGCCCUUGCGGUUUGCACCGUUAAGGCGGGGUUCGGGGGUACCUGGCAACAGAAACCCCCACUUUCAU
rnacentral:tmRNA from 1 species